ACUCCCAGAAAAUUCGAGAGGGAGAGCUUGGAGUUCUCUGACCCGAACGACACCGCCACCUGACACCGUGACCCGGCCACAACUCCGGCGUCCGGCCACCCCACGGCGGCGCACGGGCACCACGUUUUUCAUCUCGCUGUCGCCGUCACGCCUGUGUUCUUUGAUCGUCCAUGCACCGGACGAGGAGGGAGAAUCGACGGUGAGAAGGUCCAACUGUUCCGACGAAUUGCAGCGAUUUCCGGCCACCGUCUGGGUUGCAUUUGGUAUGGAAAUUCAUCCUCUCGCCUUUAUCUACACGUUAGAUUAAUUAGUCUUUGAAAUUGAGGGAGUUUUGUUGAGAUUUGGGUUCUGGGUUAGCUCGGGUUCGACGCUAUUGCUUACGUUCUCGGUUCGUUCCUGCUCGGUUUCUGGUUCGACUGCUCCCGUAGACAAGGCCUUACUUCGAUUGAGAGCUAAAGUCUGAAAGUGUCUUGGUGGGUGUUGUGAAUCCUCAGUUCAUCGUCUGUUGGGUUUCCGGUUCCGAGAUCAAAACAAGAAACUUUGAAUUGGGGACAUUGAGGCUUGGAUUGCCCGUCUAUCAUCGAGUUUUUGGAAGACUGCCGCAAGGGAGCUAAGGUUCACCUUGCAGAUUGUAGUACCGAAGGUAAACCCGAGUUUCUAGAUGGAAAUGUUUAUGUUUGUUUGGCUCGAGAGAUUGAUUAAAUUGUUGAAAUGGAUGACUGGUGAUGUAUGAGUUAAUUGUAUUGAGUUGUUAGGGGAUGGAAUUGUGGCUAUGGUUAAUUAAGAAGUGAAAGUACCGAAGUUACGAGUUGGUGGUGAAGUGGGAAAAGUUUAAGUAUUGUGAAAUACUAUGAAAUGGUCUUGGUGAUAUGGGUGUCUAUAGUAAUUCUAUCGGAUUACUAUACUAUACGACGAAACUUGAAAUAGAAGUAGAGUUGGGUGUGGAACGAAUUGAGAUCGUUUGUUAACGAAAUUGGGGAAUUUGAGAUAAUUUUCUCUAUUGCUUGUGUAUAUGUUGAAAGUCAUAGUAAGUCAAGAAAAUGACUUAAUAUAUUGGGUGUCCUUAAUAAAUUGGGUGCACUUAAUAUAUUUGGUCGAUAUAGUAACUUCAA